UGAGCCGAAGUCAGACGUUUAACCGACGGAGCCACCCAGGUGCCCCUAAAUAUCAUUCUCAGAUAUGACUUCUACUUAAAGCCUCGGUGAUAUAACCAGUGUUUCCAACUGUGUCCCAUCCUGUGCAAGAGGAACAGAGUCGUCAUGAACCUGCGCAAAUCAGUAUAUUGCCCUGAAAAUUACUCACCGAGUUUCCAAAUUCCAGACAGAUCAGUAAUGGAGAAAAAAGAUAAAUAUUUCAUCUUUGUUCACAAAGGGACAGAACAGAUCAUUUGGAGUGUUCCAGAAGCCCUCUGGAAAUAUCCCAGUCAGACUAUUGAAGAGUCCCUGUCAGCAACUUGCAGAGCAGAUGCUGAGACUCCAGGCCCACAUCCCGACGGCAUCGCCCAUGCAUAGAAUCUCCUUGAUGGCAAGGAUAUUGGCCUAAGAUGACAUCUGCCUGUGAAGAUUUCCUGAAUAGAGAGGACUUCACCCAGUUCAUGAGCUUCUGCACCAGCAGCAUCCAGGGCUGACCCUCCUUAAUGCCGAAAGUGGACCAAGGGCGAUUUUGCUGAUCUUGUGAUAUUGGGAAUUCUGUUUUGUUCCUGAGCUGCUUGCAGUCUGCUCAGCCCGUUAUCCCGGUAUCCUUGCUUUCUGCCAACACAUACCCCCACACUGCCAUGCUCGUAGGGGAAUCUGACAGAGACCGGUUUGUGUCAUUCCAAAAAUAACUUUCUUCAGGAGAUACCUCACUCCUAUUAGUCCACCUCUAAACCCCCUGGGAAGAAGCCCACUCUCCAGCACCUUCUACCGUAGCACUCCAUCUUUCCACCACACCUCCUGCCCUGCAU